CCUGCCCAUUAAGUGCCCAACACUAAACUUUUUAAGAUUUUGACGCUCGAAUUGAUCCUCGAAGCUCGUUCAUACGGAAUUGCACAACCUCUAGCUUCCCUCAUUGAUACGAAAUUCUGACGCUCCAAUCGAAGCUCGUUCCAGAUGGGUGGGAUAAAAUCUGCAAUUAGAAGGAGAUGGUAGGUUGGGAUUCAGGAGAGUGUCGGAUUUUAACGAGACAACGUUGGCAAAGCACUGCUGGCGAAUUAUACAUAACUCUCACCUGUUUAACCUGCUUUCUUCCUGAGUUCUUCAAGCCAGUUAUUUCCCAAAUUUGGACUUUAUGCAGGCUAAUGUAGGAAGUAGGCCGAGUAACAUUUGGAGGAGUAUUUGGGAAUGCAGAUGGGUUAUAGACAAGGGCAGUAGAUGCGUAGUUUGUGAUGAUGGGAUGUCAAUCAACCUAUGGAAUGAUCCGUGGCUAGGAUGCCCCCCCUUCUUUCCGUAUUAUUUCCCCUCGCCUGACAAUCUGUAAUGUCAAUAUGGUGGCCGAUUUAAUUGAUCGAGAUAUCAACUCUUGGGAUGAAAACAUUGUUCGCUAGGUACUUUUGCCUUUUGAAGCAGAUGACGUUCUGUCUAUACCACUGAGGUCGUAAGCCCUAGAAGAUGUUUUUUUUGGGUGUUACUC